GACAUCACUCCAUGUAAACGAGCACAGCCAAAACCCCAAAAGGCAUCGCUGCACCUGUACUGUCGAGACUAGCAGAUUUAGCAGAGUGUCACUUUCACUUAUAAACCAAACAGUUUAUAUUGUGUCUGAAGCUGUGUGCAGAAUAUAGCUGGGUUCCUCUCAGUGCAUCUACACCUGAUGAAACACACAUGGGUAAAAUCAUUUACAGCGAAGAAUCCUAAAACUCACAUAAACACAUAAACACCUGUCUUCCAAAAUGGAUAUUCAGUGUGUAUUUACGUGUGUGAAAGCUACAACGAGAUAUAAAUGCUGUCGUAUCAGUUUCCAUCCAUUAUCAAUAUGAAGCAAUGUUUGUUUAUGAAAAAAGCAGAUUUUUAUAUCCAGCCACACUUUUUCAGCCUGUGUGAACAUUUAUGUCGGCAAAACACAUUUUAUUGGUCUAAAUGUUUUUUAAUAUUGUAUUGUUGUCCAGAGUCGAAAACCACUUCUCAAUGUUUGCCAACAUACCGAUCAUCAUAUAUAAUUAUGUUUAAUGCAAGCUGCUUAUAUCAUUGGUAAAUUUGAAUGUGAAGUCAUAGCAUGUAAACUGUACAGUUUGCUAUGAAGUACCAAAUGAUCUUUUAUACUCCUUUAGAUACAGUAUGUGGCUUUAAACUAAAUUUGACUUAUUAAAUUUGCCCUUCUUGAAAAAAGUUUGCAUUAUUAGCUAAUAAUAAUAAUAAUAAUUAUUAUUAUUAUUAUUAUUAGGUACAGCAACUGUACUGUGUUUGAUAUGUUUUUUUGUUUGUCAUUCAUUUUGUAAAUUUGUUAUUUUUAACUUUUUUGACCACGUCAUAAUUUGUUGUCGGCCUUGUGCUAGAAUUUCUUUUGAAUUUCAUAGGAACAUCCCUAUGUGAAAUGUAAUUUAUAUAUUAGAGAAACUGAAAUGGCUCAAUGUUUUAAAUCAUUUUCUGUGUGCAUCCAGAGUUACAGUAGGUCUUAUAACUUCACGUUCAGAUUGAAAUGCCAUAUCACAGGGAUAUCUUAUUCUUCAAAAGUCCCCAUAUCGCCUGAAUGCCCCAUAACAGAAAUACAGAACAUUCCCUCCCAUCAGGUGAGAUUAUUUCCUCUGGUUAUGAAUUUAAUGAUCAUACCGAUUUGGUGCUCAAAAGCCACCAGAAUCCACAACAAUUCCAAAUUCCUUGUUGCAGCAUUGAGAUGUGAUGACAUUUACACGUUUAACAGUCUCACAUUGUCUUGUGUGUGUUUAGUUUUCAGUCUGGACUGAACAAGACGUCACAGUCCUCAGUGAGCAACACCAACAGUAACAGGAAGACAUCUGAGGACUCAGCCACAUGUGGUAAGUAACAUUCCCCUCCACUUGCAUCUGAAUUGUUGUGCAUUCUGAAGUAUGGCUGGGGUUUUAAAUGGCCUUUGAUUUUCAGAAGACACCAGGACAAAGAAGAAGGGGAAAAAGAAGAAGAACUGCUUCAGACGCGUUGUCUCUUGGUUGAGGAAGACUUUCAGCUGCUGUGUUUCCUCCAUUGAUUAGGGCAGCAUGGUGGCUUCUGUGGUCAAUUUUGAUGUUGUGGCUUCACAGCAGAAGGUACUGGCUUUUUUCUGGGCCUCUUUCUGUCUGUGUAAAGCCUGCUCACUGUCCCCAUGUCUGCGUGGGUUUCCUCCGGGUGCUCCGGUUUCCUCCCACACUCAAUCAGUCAAUAAACAAUCAGACUGGAUUUUAAGUAACUUUCCCAUGACUCACUGAACAAGUAUCGGCAUUGAUUUAGACUCAGAGGGUGACAUGACCUGAAAGCUAUUGAAUAUUGAUACAAAUCUGGAAUUUUUAUUAAAAAUAUUCAUAAAAAACAGAAACACCAAAAUCCAAUAAAAUAGUGUAUGUCUCAUUCAACCAGUAUAGCAAAAUUGCUAAGUCUACACGGAGCCUAUUGACAAAAAUGCAGAUUUUUCUUAAAAUCUUCAUAAAAAAUAGUAACAGCAAAAGAUCCAGUUAAAAGAGGUUUGUCUCAUUCUACCUGUAUAGGAAGUCAAUUAGGCACUGAUGUUGCAUCAAUGGGUCACAUGACCUGGAAGCUAUUGUCAAAAAUGUCUGCAAGUCUACAUGGAGCCUAUUGAUGAAAAUGUUGAAUUUUUUAUUUAAAUUAUUGCCGAUGGGUCACAGGACCUUUCACUGUAAAAAAAGAAAUCUGUUAAUUUUAAAGUAAAAAACUGGCAGCUGUGGUUGCCAGAAUUUUACCGUAUGGUAAAACAUUUUCUACUAUUACAGUAAUAAGAUUUUCUUGCCCUCUGCACACUACACUGUUAAUAUUAAAGACAAAAUAAGAAAUAACUAAAAAGUACUUUUGGCCAUUAAGCUAAACCUGAACAGGCGCCACCUUCUGCUUCGGAGUGGGGAUGAGCUAUUAUUUAUCCAUUUAUCUGUCAGAAAACACUACUGCUCGACCCAGUUGGCAGGUUCAUUACAAUUUUAGUGCUGAGCCCCUCCAGUCUUGCUUUGUUCUUCCUUCAUAUAUUGUCUUUCUAGUUCACACUUCACAAUCAAAAAAGACAGUGCUUCUAUAAACCAGUUGGACUUUUAUACCCUCACCGUACGCGCUAACUUAACUGAUGUUACAGACAUCAGACCUGGCACCAAUGAUGAAAAAUAGAAAUAAUAACAGUGAAAUUAUACAUUGAAAUGAUAUUUAUAAUCUGCAAAUCAGUUUUAAUUAACCAAAAGUAUCAGUUGAAUUAACUCAAUAAGGAAGAAAAUGUCAUAGUAACUCAAAAUAUUUAAAUUAGUAGAUUUUCCUUGAAAAUUAAGUUUAGACUACUCAGUCUAUUUAAUUAUUUUGAACAUCCGGGUUUACAAUGCAGCAUCUUUUAGAAAAGGUGCUCUGAAACCCCUAAAUUGAAAAAAUCUGGGCUGCAGUGUGUGGAUAGAGUGCAUUUGUGUAUGUACAGUAUACUGCGGCUGAAUGUCAUGUGGGGUCACAUUAAGAGGUUAAACCAGUAUCUAGGCCAGCUGCCUCUCAGCUGACACAGACCCCCCACAUCACAGUGACAGAGAAGAUUGGAUCAGCCAUGAAACGGUUAAUCUAGUGCCGUGCUCAAUUGUGUGGAAAGGAAUCAUAGCACGCAAUGCUAAUCCUCAGGCUGGAAGGGAUAAAUAUUGACAUCAUGUUGACUGAUACGAUCAAAAGAGGUCUGUUUAGCCAUUUCAGGCAGUAUAACCAUGAUGUCUCACAGACAGGCUGAUAGUGGUAUCAUGAACUGAAGUCUAAUGUUGUGAUGUUGUAGUGAUGUGCUGGCAGCAGUCAAGGAUCUCCAAUAGUUGAGGUUUACAUAUGCAGUGCAUUUAUGAAUCACAAUUCAGAUUUGUAUAAUUUAAUGGUUAAAAUCACUUGUGAGUUCUGUUUGUUUGUAAUUUAUUAUCAUUUGGAUUAUGAGUGAUGAAAUGAUAUUUAGUGAUUUUCUUGAAAUCAUGUGAAUUGAAAACUAACAUUUAAUACAAACCUUUAAUACUCUUGUCAUUGAACACAAUGUGUCCAGGGCAAAACAAAGUGUCAGUAUAUACCCAAAGUACAUUGGUAGAAAGAUGUUCUAUAUAUAAACGUAUUAAAUGGGAUAAAAGGGAUAUUUAUAUUCUUGAUAAAACCUGUGCCAUCAAUCAUAUUUCUCCUUGAAUCAACCCUGCUGUAAACUAGUGACAGGCGUUUUGCACUGAUUAAAAAAAAGAGAAAAAUAUGGAUUUACUG
ensembl:lncRNA